rnacentral:rRNA from 1 species
ACGCACGCUGGCGGCGUGCUUCACCCAUGCAAGUCGCACGGAAAGGCCCUGCUUUUGUGGGGUGCUCGAGUGGCGAACGGGCGAGUAACACGUGAGUAACCUGCCCUUGACUUUGGGAUAACUUCAGGAAACUGGGGCUAAUACCGGAUAGGAGCUCCUGCUGCAUGGUGGGGGUUGGAAAGUUUCGGCGGUUGGGGAUGGACUCGCGGCUUAUCAGCUUGUUGGUGGGGUAGUGGCUUACCAAGGCUUUGACGGGUAGCCGGCCUGAGAGGGUGACCGGCCAUAUUGGGACUGAGAUACGGCCCAGACUCCUACGGGAGGCAGCAGUGGGGAAUAUUGCACAAUGGGCGGAAGCCUGAUGCAGCAACGCCGCGUGCGGGAUGACGGCCUUCGGGUUGUAAACCGCUUUCGCCUGUGACGAAGCGUGAGUGACGGUAAUGGGUAAAGAAGCACCGGCUAACUACGUG